rnacentral:lncRNA from 1 species
CACAGAGACAUCCUUUUUGCCACAAGAUCCGUCUUUAUCAGAACCCGCGAUUUCUAUUGUUAGAAGCUCGUUUUAGUAAAAAAAAUUGUAUUCUCUUUCAGGUGUUCAGCUAAUAUCUUUGCAAUAGCCAUAAAGCUGAGGGGUUGACAGUGUAUUAUCACAUUAUUUUCUCAGAGCAAUAACGAUGUCAUUUCGUUUUUAUUUAUAACAGCCGAAUCCAUUCAAGCUCAAAUGUUUUAUCUUCCAGGAGAGCCAACGGCUGCUGCUGCUGUUCUCCUCCAGCUUCACGUCCAAGUCAGAGCGCCAUUGGGUCACGUCAUCUCUUGACAAAAUGCACAAUGCUGCAGAAAAUCAUUGAUACAAUGACUGAGAAUCAUAGAGGAAUGUUUGCACCCAGUAAAGAACAGAAGACAGAAACCUACCCAGGAGAAAAGCAGAUUCUGAAAGUAAAAUUUGCUACGUACAGUACAAUGAUUGUUCUAAUGCACAGGUAAGGGACUUGCGGAAUUCCAGGUGUUGUUGAACUGUUGAGACCCAUCACUCCAACCAGCAUUGGCAACAGUCAGGGAUGGUG